rnacentral:misc_RNA from 1 species
GAUGAAGAACGCAGCGAAAUGCGAUAAGUAAUGUGAAUUGCAGAAUUCAGUGAAUCAUCGAAUCUUUGAACGCACAUUGCGCCCGCUAGUAUUCUGGCGGGCAUGCCUGUCCGAGCGUCAUUUCAACCCUCAAGCCCCCGGGCUUGGUGUUGGGGAUCGGCGAGCCUCCGCGCCCGCCGUCCCCUAAAUCUAGUGGCGGUCUCGCUGUAGCUUCCUCUGCGUAGUAGCACACCUCGCACUGGGAAACAGCGCGGCCACGCCGUUAAACCCCCAACUUCUGAACGUUUGACCGCGGAUCAGGUAGGAAUACCCGCUGAACUUAAGCAUAUCAAUAAGCGGAGGA